UGGGGAAUAUUGCACAAUGGGGGAAACCCUGAUGCAGCGACGCCGCGUGAGUGAGGAAGUAUUUCGGUAUGUAAAGCUCUAUCAGCAGGGAAGAAAAUGACGGUACCUGACUAAGAAGCCCCGGCUAACUACGUGCCAGCACCG
rnacentral:rRNA from 1 species